UAGCUCUGUCAGUUAGAGCAUGGUGCUUAUAACACCAAGGCUGCAGGUUCGAUCCCCGC
rnacentral:tRNA from 1 species